rnacentral:misc_RNA from 1 species
UCACCUCUCAAGCCUGGCUUGCUGUUGGAUCCUGGUUAUAGUCUAGCUAUAACCUAUCCUAAAGAUAAUGACGGCGUCUAUGAGGACUCCAGUACAUUGAGCAUUUUAUGCACGUACGAGGUAGAACUCUAGGCCCGGUCUUUAACCAUUUUUAUCAA